rfam:Caenorhabditis elegans chromosome V
CCAACGGCCCUCUUUAGGGCCACAUACAUAUGAUCCAAUCAUUUU